rnacentral:rRNA from 1 species
AGAGUUUGAUGGUGGCUCAGGAUGAACGCUGGCGGCGUGCCUAACACAUGCAAGUCGAACGGACUUACAUUGAAGCCUAGCGAUAUGUAAGUUAGUGGCGGACGGGUGAGUAACGCGUGGGUAACCUGCCUUGUACUGGGGGACAACAGUUGGAAACGACUGCUAAUACCGCAUAAGCGCACAGCUUCGCAUGAAGCAGUGUGAAAAACUCCGGUGGUACAAGAUGGACCCGCGUCUGAUUAGCUGGUUGGUGAGGUAACGGCCCACCAAGGCGACGAUCAGUAGCCGGCCUGAGAGGGUGAACGGCCACAUUGGGACUGAGACACGGCCCAAACUCCUACGGGAGGCAGCAGUGGGGAAUAUUGCACAAUGGGGGAAACCCUGAUGCAGCAACGCCGCGUGAGUGAAGAAGUAUUUCGGUAUGUAAAGCUCUAUCAGCAGGAAAGAAAAUGACGGUACCUGACUAAGAAGCCCCGGCUAACUACGUGCCAGCAGCCGCGGUAAUACGUAGGGGGCAAGCGUUAUCCGGAUUUACUGGGUGUAAAGGGAGCGUAGACGGUUUUGCAAGUCUGAAGUGAAAGCCCGGGGCUUAACCCCGGGACUGCUUUGGAAACUGUAGGACUAGAGUGCAGGAGAGGUAAGUGGAGUUCCUAGUGUAGCGGUGAAAUGCGUAGAUAUUAGGAGGAACACCAGUGGCGAAGGCGGCUUACUGGACUGUAACUGACGUUGAGGCUCGAAAGCGUGGGGAGCAAACAGGAUUAGAUACCCUGGUAGUCCACGCUGUAAACGAUGAUUACUAGGUGUUGGUGGGUAUGACCCAUCGGUGCCGCAGCAAACGCAAUAA